GACGAACGCUGGCGGCGUGCUUAACACAUGCAAGUCGAACGGUGAAGCAGAGCUUGCUCUGUGGAUCAGUGGCGAACGGGUGAGUAACACGUGAGUAACCUGCCCUUGACUCUGGGAUAAGCGUUGGAAACGACGUCUAAUACCGGAUACGAGCUGAGACCGCAUGGUCAUCAGUUGGAAAGAUUUUUUUGUCAAGGAUGGACUCGCGGCCUAUCAGCUUGUUGGUGAGGUAAUGGCUCACCAAGGCGACGACGGGUAGCCGGCCUGAGAGGGUGACCGGCCACACUGGGACUGAGACACGGCCCAGACUCCUACGGGAGGCAGCAGUGGGGAAUAUUGCACAAUGGGCGCAAGCCUGAUGCAGCAACGCCGCGUGAGGGAUGACGGCCUUCGGGUUGUAAACCUCUUUUAGUAGGGAAGAAGCGAAAGUGACGGUACCUGCAGAAAAAGCACCGGCUAACUACGUG
rnacentral:rRNA from 1 species